UACGUAGGGUGCAAGCGUUGUCCGGAAUUAUUGGGCGUAAAGAGCUCGUAGGCGGUCUGUCGCGUCGGCUGUGAAAACUCGGGGCUCAACUCCGAGCUUGCAGUCGAUACGGGCAGGCUAGAGUUCGGCAGGGGAGACUGGAAUUCCUGGUGUAGCGGUGAAAUGCGCAGAUAUCAGGAGGAACACCAGCGGCGAAGGCGGCAUCCUGGACUGGUACUGACGCUCAGGAGCGAAAGCGUGGGGAGCGAUCCGG
rnacentral:rRNA from 1 species